AUGUCGAUCAGAUCCACGGCCCAGAUGACGCACCCGCGGUUGAUGCCCCCGCUGACGUCCGCCGCCGCGUACGCCCUGCAGCUGCAGUUGCCGAGGCACACCUGCCUGCACCGGUCCAUGGUCAUGCCGGCGUGCACCGUCGCGCUGGUCGCCUCCGGCAGCUUCAUCCGGCUCACUGUCCAGAACCCGUCUCCGGCCCCGCAGCUCAGGUUGGUCGUCCUGGCGCAGCCGCCGGUGCCGUCCCCGACGCUCCACCGCUGCGGCGACCGCGGCUGGAACCCCGGCAGGCAGCUGCACAGCGGGGACUGGCCGACGUCGCAGUACCCGAAAGCCCCGCACCUGGCGUAG
rnacentral:rRNA from 1 species